GAACAUUUUAAAUUCUAAAAUUUGUUAGCCUCGUUGGAAUUGAAAGUUCUGUAUGUUAGUUAGGAACAACGUAAUUUAAUGUCUAGAAUAACAUAUUUUUACUCUAGUGUUACAUGACUUUAUAGAUGGUACAAAGAUCUUUGUGUGGUAUAACAAGAAAAUUCUAAAACUAUUAGUUCUGUAACUACUUUAAACUUAAAUUAUCUAAACUUCUGACAGUUACCACAGGAAACAUUUAAAAGUAAUCCUAGAAAGUGCAAAAUGUGUCAAGUUUGAUAUAUGUUAAAAGAAAAGCUUCAUUUCUUCUUAAACUAAUUGACAAUAAAGAGUUACCUGUCUAUCUGUCUUUGUCUAACAUUUUCCAGCUGGAUAAAUUCAAUUAUUACUAAACUUGACAAAAAGCAAUGAUAUUAUUAAUGAAAUUAACACAUGAUGUUAAAUUUUUACCACAAUAUUCCAGUGAUUUUUAAUUAAGUGCAUGUAAUUAGAGAUAAGAGGAGUUCAUAGGUGAGAAUGUGAAUUAUUCGAGUUUGUUAUUCUUAUUUUUGAUAGAAUAGCAACCUAUCAUUUGCACAUUUCAAAAGUUAAAUAUUAUCAUGUUUCUAGAUUAUUACCUACAAUUUAAGUAUACCUCUGUCCUUCUCAGGAAACUCAUUUGUUACACUUAACAGGGCCAUUACAUUUAUAUGUGUCAAACAUGGAGUGUCAAAGGUCAAAGAGUCCUCUAAAACCUUGACAGCAUUUAGGUAGGUAGGUAGGUGGGUGGGUGGGUAGAUAGAUAGACAGACAGACAUGAACAUGGAUACUAUGACAUUAAGUGAAUUACAAAAUUAUUAUAAUCUUUAUGCUAUAUAGACACACAAAAAUAUAUUUAAAAAUAGCACAUAUAUUUAAGAUGAGGGUUUUAAAUAGAAUGGAAAAGUUCCGUUUGAUUCAGUUCAACAAACAACUAUGAAUUUUAUCUUAUGUGUUUGGCUCUGUAUCAGGUCCCAGAUAUCCAUAUGUCAAGUUCCUGCUUCAAGGACUGAAGCUGUCAAAAAGCAAUUAAAAACCCACCUCAGGCAUCAUCAACAUGGAGUUCUCAAGUCCAUAUGGCUCCUCACAGUGAACCAGGUCUUAAGGAAAAUGCAGAGGUGCCACAGCAGGAACACGGACAGCGGUCCACCUGAGAGAGAUAGCAGCCAAGCACUCAGCUCCCCGUUCUCAACAGCCCUACAGCAGCCUCAUGCUCCUGAAGCCCAACCUGGAGACACUGGACGACUUCUUUGACCUGCUGUGGAUUGUGGGCAUCGCUGACUUUGUGCUGGAGUAGGUCACCCUCGCCCUUGAGUGCCUCACCGUGGCCCUGCCCACCACCACCCUGGCCUCGAGUCCAAGGGAAGACCGCCUGAUGACACGGGGAGAAGGCAGCAUCUGUAAGCCAAGGAGCGAGGUCUGGGAAGAAACCAACCUUGAGGACACCUCCAUCUCAGGCUCCCGGCCUCCAGAACUGGGAGGAAAUACAUGUCUGUCGUUGUGCCCCCCAGUCUGUGGCACUUUGUGAUGGCAGCCCUAGAAGACUAAUACAUCCACACACCGGUUUCCCCACACUUCUGUCCUUUUAAACUCCUUUUAUUUUGAGGAGUUAGUUUUGGGUAAAUAAUAUUGUAAUAUUGCAACAAAGGAGACAUAAUAUUCCCCUUUUUAAAUCAAAGCAUCAACUAUUUAAAAUGCAUAAUUA
rnacentral:lncRNA from 1 species